AGCAUGUGGUUUAAUUCGAUACGGCGCGAGAAACCUUACCAAUUUUUGCAUAUAAAAUAUAAAACUUGUGUUACGCGAGUUGUCAUUUAAAAAAAUGAAAAUUUUAUACAGGUGCUGCAUGGCUGUCGUCAGCUCGUGUCGUGAGACGUUGGGUUAAGUCCCGCAACGAGCGCAACCCUUGUCAUUAGUUGCUACAUUCAGUUGGGCACUCUAAUGAGACUGCCGGUGACAAACCGGAGGAAGGUGGGGAUGACGUCAGGUCAUCAUGGCCCUUAUGGGUAGGGCUACACACGUCAUACAAUGGCCGGUACAGAGGGCUGCCAACCCGCGAGGGGGAGCCAAUCCCAGAAAACCGGUCGUAGUCCGGAUCGUAGUCUGCAACUCGACUGCGUGAAGUCGGAAUCGCUA
rnacentral:rRNA from 14 species